GGGCCCAUAGUCGAAUGGUUAAGACGCUACUCUCACACAGUAGAGACUGGGGGUUCGAUUCCCUCUGGGCCCAC
rnacentral:tRNA from 1 species